GACGUAGGAGGCGAGCGUUAUCCGGAUUCACUGGGCGUAAAGCGCAUGUAGGCGGUUGCACAAGUCCGUUGUUAAAGCCCCUGGCUCAACUGGGGGAGGUCAAUGGAGACUGUGCGACUUGAGGGCAGUAGAGGCACGUGGAACUCCCGGUGUAGCGGUGGAAUGCGUAGAGAUCGGGAAGAACACCAGUGGCGAAGGCGACGUGCUGGGCUGCAACUGACGCUGAGAUGCGAAAGCCAGGGGAGCAAACGGG
rnacentral:rRNA from 1 species